rnacentral:rRNA from 1 species
AGAGUUUGAUCCUGGCUCAGGACGAACGCUGGCGGCGCGCCUAACACAUGCAAGUCGAACGAGCGAGAGAGAGCUUGCUUUCUCGAGCGAGUGGCGAACGGGUGAGUAACGCGUGAGGAACCUGCCUCAAAGAGGGGGACAACAGUUGGAAACGACUGCUAAUACCGCAUAAGCCCACGGGUCGGCAUCGACCAGAGGGAAAAGGAGCAAUCCGCUUUGAGAUGGCCUCGCGUCCGAUUAGCUGGUUGGUGAGGUAACGGCCCACCAAGGCGACGAUCGGUAGCCGGACUGAGAGGUUGAACGGCCACAUUGGGACUGAGACACGGCCCAGACUCCUACGGGAGGCAGCAGUGGGGAAUAUUGCACAAUGGGGGAAACCCUGAUGCAGCGACGCCGCGUGGAGGAAGAAGGUCUUCGGAUUGUAAACUCCUGUUGUUGGGGAAGAUAAUGACGGUACCCAACAAGGAAGUGACGGCUAACUACGUGCCAGCAGCCGCGGUAAAACGUAGGUCACAAGCGUUGUCCGGAAUUACUGGGUGUAAAGGGAGCGCAGGCGGGAAGACAAGUUGGAAGUGAAAUCCAUGGGCUCAACCCAUGAACUGCUUUCAAAACUGUUUUUCUUGAGUAGUGCAGAGGUAGGCGGAAUUCCCGGUGUAGCGGUGGAAUGCGUAGAUAUCGGGAGGAACACCAGUGGCGAAGGCGGCCUACUGGGCACCAACUGACGCUGAGGCUCGAAAGUGUGGGUAGCAAACAGGAUUAGAUACCCUGGUAGUCCACACCGUAAACGAUGAUUACUAGGUGUUGGAGGAUUGACCCCUUCAGUGCCGCAGUUAACACAAUAAGUAAUCCGCCUGGGGAGUACGACCGCAAGGUUGAAACUCAAAGGAAUUGACGGGGGCCCGCACAAGCAGCGGAGUAUGUGGUUUAAUUCGACGCAACGCGAAGAACCUUACCAAGUCUUGACAUCCGUUGACCGACAUAGAAAUAUGUUUUUCCUUCGGGACAGCGAGACAGGUGGUGCAUGGUUGUCGUCAGCUCGUGUCGUGAGAUGUUGGGUUAAGUCCCGCAACGAGCGCAACCCUUAUGGUCAGUCACUACGCAAGAGGACUCUGGCCAGACUGCCGUUGACAAAACGGAGGAAGGUGGGGAUGACGUCAAAUCAUCAUGCCCUUUAUGACUUGGGCUACACACGUACUACAAUGGCGUUAAACAAAGAGAAGCAAGAC